UACGUAGGGGGCUAGCGUUGUCCGGAAUCAUUGGGCGUAAAGCGCGUGUAGGCGGUCCGGUAAGUCCGCUGUGAAAGUCGGGGGGCUCAACCCUCGGAUGCCGGUGGAUACUGUCGGGCUUGAGUACGGAAGAGGCGAAGUGGAAUUCCGUGGUGUAGCGGUGAAAUGCGCAGAUAUCAGGAGGAACACCAAUUGCGAAGGCAGCUCGCUGGGACGUUACUGACGCUGAGACGCGAAAGCGUGGGGAGCAAACAGG
rnacentral:rRNA from 1 species